rnacentral:rRNA from 1 species
GUGCCAGCAGCCGCGGUAAGACGAACCGUGCGAACGUUGUUCGGAAUCACUGGGCUUAAAGGGCGCGUAGGCGGACAGUCAAGUCAGGGGUGAAAUCCCACGGCUCAACCGUGGAAGUGCCUUUGAUACUGACAGUCUCGAGGGAGGUAGGGGCGUGCGGAACUUCCGGUGGAGCGGUGAAAUGCGUAGAUAUCGGAAGGAACGCCGGUGGCGAAAGCGGCGCGCUGGACCUCUUCUGACGCUGAGGCGCGAAAGCUAGGGGAGCAAACGGGAUUAGAUACCCUCGUAGUCC